rnacentral:rRNA from 1 species
CACCUGUUUAUCAAAAACAUGUCUUAUUGAAAAUAAUUUUAAGUCAAUCUGCCCAAUGAAAUACUUAAAUGGCUGCAGUAUAAUUGACUGUACAAAGGUAGCAUAAUCAAUUGAUUUUUAAAUGAAAUCUGGAAUGAAAGGAUUAAUGAAAUAUAUACUGUCUCAUAUUUAUUAUAUAAAUUUAAAUUUUUAAUAAAAAUGUUAAAAUAAAUUUAUGGGACGAUAAGACCCUAUAGAAUUUUAUAUUUUAUUAUUUUAUUUUAUGAAAAUUUUAAAUUUAAUAAAAUAUUUAGUUGGGAGAAUUAUUAAAUUUAAAAAAUUUUAAUUAAUAAUAACUUAGAUUAAAGAAAAAAUAAUGAUUUUUAAUUUGAAAAUAUUAGAAUAAAUUACCUUAGGGAUAACAGCGUUAUAUUUUUUUAUAGGUCAUAUAGAAAAAAAUGAUUGCGACCUCGAUGUUGAAUUAAGAUAAAUUUUAAAUGCAGGAGUUUAAUAAUUAAGUCUGUUCGACUUUUAAAAUCUUACAUGAUUUGAGUUCAAAUCGACGUAAGUCAGAUUGGUUUCUAUCUAUA